rnacentral:misc_RNA from 1 species
UCGUAACAAGGUUUCCGUAGGUGAACCUGCGGAAGGAUCAUUAAAAAAUACAUUACACAUUGUUUUUGCGAACAAAAAAAUAAAUUUUUUUAUUCGAAUUUCUUAAUAUCAAAACUUUCAACAACGGAUCUCUUGGUUCUCGCAUCGAUGAAGAACGCAGCGAAUUGCGAUACGUAGUAUGACUUGCAGACGUGAAUCAUCGAAUCUUUGAACGCACAUUGCGCCUCGAGGCAUUCCUCGAGGCAUGCCUGUUUGAGCGUCGCAUCCCCUCUAACCCCCGGUUAGGCGUUGCUCCGAAAUAUCAACCGCGCUGUCAAACACGUUUACAGCACGACAUUUCGCCCUCAAAUCAGGUAGGACUACCCGCUGAACUUAAGCAUAUCA